AUCUUUGGAAAAUGGGGGCAACCCUGAUCUAGCCAUCCCGCGUGCGGGAUGAAGGCCUCCGGUUUGUAAAGCACUUUUGGCAGGGAAGAAUGCGCUCUGCCUAAUACCUGGAGCUGCUCACGGUACCUCCAGAAUAAGCACCGGCGAACUACGUGCCAGCAGCCGCGGUAAUACGUAGGGUGCAAGCGUUAAUCGGAAUUACGGGGCGUAAAGCGUGCGCAGGCGGUUCGGCAAGAAGGAUGUGAAAUCCCAGGGCUUAACCUUGGAACUGCAUUCUUAACUGCCGGGCUAGAGUAUGUCAGAGGGGAGUAGAAUUCCGCGUGUAGCAGUGAAAUGCGUAGAGAUGCGGAGGAAUACCGAUGGCGAAGGCAGCCCCCUGGGAUAAUACUGACGCUCAUGCACGAAAGCGUGGGGAGCAAAC
rnacentral:rRNA from 1 species